rnacentral:rRNA from 1 species
AUGAACGCUGGCGGCGUGCCUAAUACAUGCAAGUCGAGCGAACAGACGAGGAGCUUGCUCCUCUGACGUUAGCGGCGGACGGGUGAGUAACACGUGGAUAACCUACCUAUAAGACUGGGAUAACUUCGGGAAACCGGAGCUAAUACCGGAUAAUAUAUUGAACCGCAUGGUUCAAUAGUGAAAGACGGUUUUGCUGUCACUUUUAGAUGGAUCCGCGCCGCAUUAGCUAGUUGGUAAGGUAACGGCUUACCAAGGCAACGAUGCGUAGCCGACCUGAGAGGGUGAUCGGCCACACUGGAACUGAGACGCGGUCCAGACUCCUACGGGAGGCAGCAGUAGGGAAUCUUCCGCAAUGGGCGAAAGCCUGACGGAGCAACGCCGCGUGAGUGAUGAAGGUCUUCGGAUCGUAAAACUCUGUUAUUAGGGAAGAACAAAUGUGUAAGUAACUAUGCACGUCUUGACGGUACCUAAUCAGAAAGCCACGGCUAACUACGUG